rnacentral:misc_RNA from 1 species
AACCAUAGAAACCUGCGGAGUACCUGCGGAGGGAUCAUUACAGAGUUGCAAAACUCCCUAAACCAUUGUGAACGUUACCUAAACCGUUGCUUCGGCGGGCGGCCCGGGUCCUUCCCGGCGCCCCUCGGCCCUCGCGGGCGCCCGCCGGAGGUAAACCCAACUAUUGCAUUGUAUGGCCUCUCUGAGUCUUCUGUACUGAAUAAGUCAAAACUUUCAACAACGGAUCUCAGAUCGGAAGAG